GAAAAUAAGACUCCUGAGGAGGCGUUUCUGGAUGACACGGCCUCUUCGAGCCUUCCAUGGUGGGAUGAACAGUUAUUCCCAUCAUUAGAGCCUUCACCAAAUGAGAUUGGAGGUUCAGCACAGUGUUGCUACGGCAGCAACAACUGCGCCUGCUACUGAGUCUGCUGCCACCUCAUAUCCUGCAGCCACACCAACUAAAUGUGCUGCCUCUUCUGGUCCUGCAGCCUUAGCAGUCACACUGCCUUCUGCCUCUCAUGCUGACAUGUCGCAGUGUUCGUUCAGCAAGGAUGAACAGCUAAGAUAAUCAAGGAUCCACAAGGAGUAUUAUAGGUUGACCUGCCUAACGGUGGGACGCUCUCAAGGACCGCCUCGAGAAAGGACUUUCAUUUGGUUCAGCGGUCCACCAUCGCAAUAUGGUGGACAGAUGCCCACACGCAUAGGAGCUUCACGGGAACGAACCGUUUUGCAGCAGCAGGCAGCCAGAAGCCUGCACAUCGGCCAUUGUCCCCACAUAAAGUGGGAGCAUAGAGAGGUCAGCGAGAAAGCUUGCGCAUUUCAGUAGCGUGCAUGUUUUCUGUCAUGCAUGCAUGUCGUUUUAUAACCUGGUACCAGUUCGGCAACUUCAGUGCCCUAUUUCUGAGCACAGCUGCAAGUUAUAUUUCCAGUCACAGAAUGUACAUGCCUAAUGGUUGAAAUGCUGAAAUGCUUGUCUACUUCAAGCAAUACUGCAAGUUGGCCCAGUUGGAACAUAUUCAUCUUCACGGAUUCGCGCAAGCACACGGAGA